UGGGGUGUAGCCAAGAGGUUAAGGCACCGGAUUUUGAUUCCGGCAUUCGUUGGUUCAAAUCCAGCCACCCCAGCCA
rnacentral:tRNA from 1 species